AGUGAACGCUGGCGGUAGGCCUAACACAUGCAAGUCGAACGGCAGCACAGUAAGAGCUUGCUCUUACGGGUGGCGAGUGGCGGACGGGUGAGGAAUACAUCGGAAUCUACUUUUUCGUGGGGGAUAACGUAGGGAAACUUACGCUAAUACCGCAUACGACCUACGGGUGAAAGCAGGGGAUCUUCGGACCUUGCGCGAUUGAAUGAGCCGAUGUCGGAUUAGCUAGUUGGCGGGGUAAAGGCCCACCAAGGCGACGAUCCGUAGCUGGUCUGAGAGGAUGAUCAGCCUCACUGGAACUGAGACACGGUCCAGACUCCUACGGGAGGCAGCAGUGGGGAAUAUUGGACAAUGGGCGCAAGCCUGAUCCAGCCAUACCGCGUGGGUGAAGAAGGCCUUCGGGUUGUAAAGCCCUUUUGUUGGGAAAGAAAAGCAGCAGGUUAAUACCCCGCUGUUCUGACGGUACCCAAAGAAUAAGCACCGGCCAACUUCGUG
rnacentral:rRNA from 1 species